CGGGCGGGGGCGGCCCCGGAGCCCAUUGGAGAGCGGGGAAGGAGGCAGGGAAAGGGGCAGGGUAAGGGGCAGGGUAGGAGACACGGUGGGCUGGCUCUCGGCCCCGCUCGGCUCGACAGUCCCGCCGCUGCAUCCCUCUGACACUGCUGAUACCUCUGGAGUCGCCUCUCUUCCUGCUCACAGUGCCACUGCCCAAGUCCUUGUAGCCGCUGGCACAAUGGAUGGCCGGACCUCAGGUCCCGCUGCGGAGCUUUGCUGAGCUCCCUGUUUAUGCUGAAGGAUGCACCUUUGCCAGGUGCUCCCAGGGCCGAGGACCAUCACAGUUUGCAAACCUCAACUCUGAAGCUGAGAAGUCCAGCAGAAACUAUGGUGCUAUAAAUACUGAACCAGGAGCAGAUUCUGAUGGAAUUUCUUCAGUUUGUCUUUAAAUAAGUAUGUCAACAUGCCAAGAUUUAGAAGUUAAAUUAAAUAUUAAUCUUCUUUACACCGAGUUACGCUUAGAAGUGUCUCUGACAAAGAGAACUGGCCAACAGCAAAUUCUUUGAGACACCCUGUUACCAAACCUUAUUCCCAGAUGGGUCUGACAUGGACAAUUAAGGUGACAACCACCAUUCACUGGGCAGGAUGUGGGGAAUCUGUGGUUUCACGGGUGCCAGCAUGGCCCAGCAAGGAGGUGUGGUGGAUCUGAGCUGCCUGGGGGCUGUGAGCAGAGCAACAUCUCCUGGGAGGGUGCCCCAGACGCUGCCUGCCUGGUGAUGGGUCGGUGGAGUUGUCACCCCACAGGUGAUUUACAGGGAAGGACUUUGCCCAGCUCAGUCAUGGUGUUGUACCAUCCCUCGGUACAUGUAGGGCAGGAACAGGCUCGUGCCAGCACGGAGCUUCCUUGAGCAAAUGCCUCUUAGAUGAGAGAGAUGGGAUGAGUGUGGGUUUUCUCAUUUCUCUGAAAGCAAUGGGUGUGCAGCAGGAAAGACUUUUCAUUAAGGUUUUUAAAAACCCCAGGUAUUAAGGAGGAAAAGCAAAGAGCUCAGAGGUGGCUCCUCUCAAGUAACUGCACAGCCACACAAACAUUCACCCAACAGCAACCCCAAAUCUCCUCUCUCUGAUUCCUGCCUGGUAAAAGGGUCCUCCAGGAGAGCAGAAUCCAGGUGCUACAUUAGCCUG
rnacentral:lncRNA from 1 species